UACAGAGGGUGCAAGCGUUGUUCGGAAUUAUUGGGCGUAAAGGGCGCGUAGGCGGUGCGGUAAGUCUGUAGUGAAAUCCCCGGGCUCAACCUGGGAACUGCAUUUGUGACUGCAUCGCUAGAGUACGGCAGAGGGGGGAUGGAAUUCCGCGUGUAGCAGUGAAAUGCGUAGAUAUGUGGAGGAACACCGAUGGCGAAGGCAGCCCCCUGGGUCAAGAUUGACGCUCAUGCACGAAAGCGUGGGGAGCAAACAGG
rnacentral:rRNA from 1 species